AAAAAUUAAGGAGGUUAUUAGAGUCAUUUUAAUGUUAUAUAUUUGAGAAGUUUAGGAAGUUGUGUUCCUGUCAGGAUAAUUAGAUAUAUUCAUAUAUCCUAUUGGUAACUUCAAUUGAGGUUAAUAUACUACUAUAACAUCCUUCAUUGAACAUGCAAAUUAAGCUACAUUUAACUGCAUUCCUUUGAAUAAAUAACCGUGGACAAAUUGAAAAUUUGACAUAUAGAAUUAGAAGGUAAGUGCAAGCCGCUUCCCCAACUAAAAAAACCAACAAAAAAUUGGUGCAUAGCCAAAGUGCAGUCAACUGCAAUAAAAAUAGAAGCAUUAUCUAUAUUGCUCCUAAUAUUCUUGUUUCCUUUCCAAAGAUUUGAUUCAAGAUGUAAAAAUUAUACUUUUAAUCAUUAAAUUACACCCCAUGCUACUUGCCUGCUUAAUAUUAACCAUCAAUUCACAAAUGAUCCUAUUAGCAGCCCUGUCCCAGUUUUUAAAUAUAAUCUUCCUAAACACUACAAAUGUAAUCUCUGCAUGCUAGCAUGGUGUGAUCUAAUCAACAACUUCAGUAAUAUGUCUUUCUUUUUCUAUUUUUACACAUACAGCUGGGUACAUAUAUCCUUCUAGUAUAUUUUUAUGAUGCAAGAUUUGUAAAGCCAUAUAGGAGUUGCUUAGUACAUUGUAAAGCACAAUACGUUCAAACUAACUAGGAUAAGAAUACAUUUGUUUUGGAAGUUGGCAAUCUUAUAUGAUAUACUAAUCAACCUUUGAAGAACAUAGACAACUAUUUUAGCCUGUGGUCAUCAGUCCUCCAAAUCAUAAGCUUUUUAGGCUUGGUAGUUAAUACAAGUUGGCAGUAUCUUUUUAUAAUCACACUCUUCAUCCAUCUUAUCUGUCAAUUCUUGUUUUCAUCUUGAAAUUCUGUGAUUGACAUUCACGGUUUGUUUCAAAUGGCUCUUUUAUAUGCUUGUUCUAAUGAUAAAAUGCCAACAUGUCUUAUGAUCAGCAAAUAUGUUGAUCAUUGUUCAUAAUUUGAUGGUUUCAGAGUUGUUUCUUCCUUUUAGUUCAAGUUAAGACAGCUUAUUCCUUGCUUUUCUUGUCUUGAAGGAAUUAAAAAAUGCUUUUAUCAAAGCAAGUAGCAGAUUACUGAUCAUAACUUCUGUUCUUUAUUUUUUAUCAAAUCAGAUUGCAUAUCACCUUCUGUUGUUCUUGUUUCAACAGUCAAAUGGCAGGCUUCUCACAUUCUUCUUCACUAGAGCCGAAAGUACUUGGAGUUACACAACAAAACAACAUGUCUAAGAAAUAGCCGUUAGUUGAUAAAGCUAAAUUCUUGGACGAAUGACAUACACCUGCGACCUGUCUUGACGGGUUUGCUCCACAAGUGAAAAAGUUUCCAAGAUACGAACUUGAAUUUGAGUUGCUUGAUACUAUUGUUUGAGUUGGUAAGUACAUAAUGUAUUAUGACAAAUUUGAAAAUAUGACAUGAGUAAAUUCUAUAUUUAGUAUUGUGUAGUUUGUACUCACUACCUGAGCGUUUUUAUUUUGAGAAUUGCUACAGAUUGCCUCUUGUAAAUGACUUAGGCUUAGGCACAUAUAAUUGGUUAUAUAUUCUAUACUAUACACUCUCAGUAGUACUCAAUAGUUUAAAUUUUAAAAGAUUGAAAAUGAAUAUAUGAGGUUUCGUUCCUUUGCCUUUGUACA